GAAACAAGGGCAGCUCCGUAUCCAGGCUGAGCUUGGACCUUGCACUUCCUGGGAGCCAAGGACCAAAUCCCUGCUGGGGAAGAGCGGCAGCGGGGUGCCCCCCACCCCGGGCAGCAGGGCAGGGAGCCAGAAGGAGGAGGAAGGAGCCUGGCCUCCUCCAUCACAGCCUAGGCAGAGACUGCACAGUGGAGAUGAUGAAGACGGGAGAGUCCAGACCCUGCAGGUCCUGCAGCAGCUGGCAGAUGGUGAACUGAGGCUCAAAGCCCAGAGAGGUUAAGUGAUCAGCUCAGGACGCACAGCACGAGAGAAGAAGGACCCGGCCAGGAAGGAGACGAGGCCCCUUGGGGAGCUCACUCAGAGGACACAAAGCACAGAUGUGCCCCUCGCAGCCCCCCCAGUCCCAGAGAGACUGGGUGCACAGGUAGGGGAGGUGGAUCAGCUCCACGGCUCUCUAGCAUGGUGACAGGAAAGCACGGGGCAGGCUUCUGGGGCUCAUCCUGCCUCCCACCUGCACCCCCACCCCAGAGGGACCCGGGGAGGGGGAGGCAGAUGGGGAAUCAGCUGCCACAGGGUGUGGACAGGCACCACCAGAGUCUGCCUCUUUGUAUUUAUUCAUUAUGUCAAUGCAGCUGGUUUUGAACUGGGUGAGGGGCUGGGGGUAAAGGUGAGGAUGGGAGUUGCGUGGUGCAGGUCACACAGGUGAGAGCUUCGACCUCACCCUAGGAGCUGGGGCCUCUCAGGAGGACUCAGCAGGAGGGUAAGCCGUAAGGCCUUUGGAUCUGAGGCUGGAAAAGCGAUGCUCUGUCUACUGAGUGGGAACUGACUCCAGGGACUGAGGCUGAAAGCGGCCAUCCAGGCGCCCCGG
rnacentral:lncRNA from 1 species